AUUGAACGCUGGCGGCGUGCCUAACACAUGCAAGUCGAGCGGUAACAGGUGUAGCAAUACAUGCUGACGAGCGGCGGACGGGUGAGUAACGCUUGGGAAUCUGCCUAUUAGUGGGGGACAACCCGGGGAAACUCGGGCUAAUACCGCAUACGCACUACGGUGGAAAGCCGGGGACCGCAAGGCCUGGCGCUAACAGAUGAGCCCAAGUCGGAUUAGCUAGUUGGUAGGGUAACGGCCUACCAAGGCGACGAUCCGUAACUGGUCUGAGAGGACGACCAGUCACACCGGAACUGAGACACGGUCCGGACUCCUACGGGAGGCAGCAGUGGGGAAUAUUGGACAAUGGGCGAAAGCCUGAUCCAGCGACGCCGCGUGGGUGAAGAAGGCCUGCGGGUUGUAAAGCCCUUUCAGUGGGGAAGAAAAGCCUCGAGCUAACACCUCGGGGUCUUGACGUAACCCAUAGAAGAAGCACCGGCUAACUCUGUGCCAGCCGCCGCCGUAAC
rnacentral:rRNA from 1 species